UAGCAUAUCAAUAAGCGGAGGAAAAGAAACCAACAGGGAUUGCCCUAGUAACGGCGAGUGAAGCGGCAACAGCUCAAAUUUGAAAUCUGGCUCUUUCAGAGUCCGAGUUGUAAUUUGCAGAGGGCGCUUUGGCUUUGGCAGCGGUCCAAGUUCCUUGGAACAGGACGUCACAGAGGGUGAGAAUCCCGUACGUGGUCGCUAGCUAUUGCCGUGUAAAGCCCCUUCGACGAGUCGAGUUGUUUGGGAAUGCAGCUCUAAAUGGGAGGUAAAUUUCUUCUAAAGCUAAAUAUUGGCCAGAGACCGAUAGCGCACAAGUAGAGUGAUCGAAAGAUGAAAAGCACUUUGGAAAGAGAGUCAAACAGCACGUGAAAUUGUUGAAAGGGAAGCGCUUGCAGCCAGACUUGCUUGCAGUUGCUCAUCCGGGCUUUUGCCCGGUGCACUCUUCUGCAGGCAGGCCAGCAUCAGUUUGGGCGGUGGGAUAAAGGUCUCUGACACGUUCCUUCCUUCGGGUUGGCCAUAUAGGGGAGACGUCAUACCACCAGCCUGGACUGAGGUCCGCGCAUCUGCUAGGAUGCUGGCGUAAUGGCUGUAAGCGGCCCGUCUUGAAACACGGACCAAGGAGUCUAACAUCUAUGCGAGUGUUUGGGUGUCAAGCCCGAGCGCGUAAUGAAAGUGAACGGAGGUGGGAACCCGCAAGGGCGCACCAUCGACCGAUCCUGAAGUUUACGGAAGGAUUUGAGUAAGAGCAUGGCUGUUGGGACCCGAAAGAUGGUGAACUAUGCUUGAAUAGGGUGAAGCCAGAGGAAACUCUGGUGGAGGCUCGCAGCGGUUCUGACGUGCAAAUCGAUCGUCAAAUUUGGGCAUAGGGGCGAAAGACUAAUCGAACUAUCUAGUAGCUGGUUCCUGCGA
rnacentral:rRNA from 1 species